ACCAUCACGGAGUCACCGCCGCGAUAAUGUGGACUCGACACGAGAUCUUCAUCAUCAACAGGGAAGAACUCGGGGUCUUAAGGAAAACCGGCUAUCAAGAGUCUCAGGUUUCAGCGGUGCUACGUGUGUCGGUCGAGUAAGGAUAUAUAAGUACCUAGUAGUAAUGAUUGGUAACUAAACCAGACGCGUCCGUUGUCGCUCGUGACGUGACCGCAUCCUAAAACCAAAGUUGUGUGAUUUAUUGAUAAAUUUCCGCGGGUUCGGUGAAAGCUUAGCGGUUGGUGACAGUCAGAAUAACCUUCAUUUAAAGAACUCAGUGCUGACUCCUUGAAGUCCAUAUCAAGAUUACGGGGCCUAAGAUUAGUUUACUGUCUCUAACGUGAGCCCCGUGAAUGAUGCAAUGUC